rnacentral:antisense_RNA from 1 species
CUUGACCGACCCGAGCCACACCGGGCGGCCUUCCGGGCGGUCCUUCCCGUACGUUGCGGCGAGCGCCUGCACCUC